UACGAAGGGGGCUAGCGUUGCUCGGAAUCACUGGGCGUAAAGGGUGCGUAGGCGGGUCUUUUAAGUCAGGGGGUGAAAUCCUGGAGCUCAACUCCAGAACUGCCUUUGAUACUGAGGAUCUUGAGUUCGGGGAGAGGUGAGUGGAACUGCGAGUGUAGAGGUGAAAUUCGUAGAUAUUCGCAAGAACACCAGUGGCGAAGGCGGACUCACUGGUCCGGUACUGACGCUGAGGUGCGAAAGCGUGGGGAGCAAACAGG
rnacentral:rRNA from 1 species